CUUUCUAGUUCAUUCUUGAAUUUUUGUAAUCUUGUAGCCUUCUGUCCUGUGAGACCUCCUAACCACAGUCUUCAGUACACAACCCACAGCCUGGGUUGAAAUUCAGUCUAACUUUUUCAAUUUUUUUUCCUCUUUUCUUUUCUUUUCUUUUUUUUUUUUUUUCCUGCUUUGUAUGUAGAAAAUCAUUGGAUUUUUUUUUUCUUGUUUGUUAUAUUUAGACUAAGAAUCUAACAAUUCUUAGAUCUUUAAUUCAUGUUUUUACAGCAUCAUAUGAGAAGUUCCAAGGCCAAAGCCAUAUUUUGUAAUUAACUACAUCCUUUCACUUUUUAAAUUUUAUUUAUUUUGCUCACCACAUGACACGUUAGCUUCAGUUAAUGGAAAGCAGUAUAGAACUUCAUCAUUUGUCCUUCCAUGUAAGCAAUGCAUUACAAACUGCAUUAAUAAAACAAAGGUACAUCACGAAACCUGGUAAUAGUAGCAUGUAUAAAAUACAUGACCAGAUAUUUCUAAUUGACAAAUGAGUUAACGAUUGUGCCUCAGCUGUGGGUUCCCUACAACUUGAGAGUUUUGUAAAGCAACCCUUUUAAAUUCAAAAGUUUGAGAACUUGAUGGGGAAAAAAAUCACAAACAGAUCCAAUUUUUAAAUAGUACUAAUUACAGUGUACCAAAUAUUACUUCAGGUAUUAUUAUUAUUAUUAUUUUUAAUUUAUGAUACUGAUUACAUUUUGCAUGUCUAAAAACUACAGAACAUUCCAGCGUAGACAAAAUUUGUAAUUUUUAGUAAAGGAAUCAGUUUCUUUUGCAAGACCCUGUGAUACUUAAUUCUUACAUAUUUUUCAAGUAUUUUAUUUAAUUAAUCAUAAUAUAGCAAAACAGUUGUGAUUACAAACAUGUUUACUUUGAACCUGCAGUGCUAACCAAUAUAUCAAGAAACAUCAAUAUCUCUGCAACUGCUAGUAAUUUGUGACACCACAUCUAUUUCUGUAUUUUUGAUAGGCAAACCAAACUCCAAAGUCUAGAGGCAAGAGAAAGGAAGACUGAUAAUCUUGUUCAUUAUUAUGAAAACAAAUACUAAUUCAUUUUUUAUGCAUUUUCUAUGAUACUUACUGUACACUACAUUCCUUGGUAUAUACAUGUAUGCCACUAUACAUGUUAAAUAUAUAUCUAUAUUUUAUCAUGUACAUCUUACACAUACAUACAUAUACAGGAACACAGAUAUUAAUUUCAUUUGUAGGUUUAAAUAUUUGUUCUUUUUUGUUUUACCUAUUAAUCUCAAAUGUGUAUUUUUAUUCAUGAUAGAUAAUGCUCCUGGGUAUUCAUUUCAGUAGGGAGUAAAUAAGUGACCUUCUCAUCAUACCUUUGAUUUUUAAAUCAUUUAUUCAUUAUUUAACAAACGGUUCACCACACUUCCAUUGAAGAGGAAGAUGUUAGUGGUUUGAUAAAUGUAUUUUACUAUAACAUUUAGCAUUAUGCAUUCUCAUGAUUUUAUAAUCUUAUUGAAUAUGUACAAUUGAAUUGCUAGAAUUUAUUGCAAAAAAAAAAAAAAGCUAAAUGUUUCUGUUUGAAAUCCCUAAGAUAAAAUUUUAUGAAAA